rnacentral:misc_RNA from 1 species
CACAAUAAAAUAUGAAGGCUGUACGCGGCUGUGCUCUCGGGCCAGUUUUGCGGAGGCUGAAUUAUUUAUUACCCUUGUCUUUUGCGUCACUUUGUUGUUUCCUGGGCGGGUUUCGCCCCGCCACCAGGACCACACAUCAUAAACCUUUUUUAUGCAGUUGCAAUCAGCGUCAGUAUAACAAAUGUAAAUCAUUUA